rnacentral:rRNA from 1 species
CAGUCGCCGCGGUAAUACGGAGGGUGCAAGCGUUAAUCGGAAUUACUGGGCGUAAAGCGCACGCAGGCGGUCUGUCAAGUCAGAUGUGAAAUCCCCGAGCUUAACCUGGGAACUGCAUUUGAAACUGGCAGGCUAGAGUCUUGUAGAGGGGGGUAGAAUUCCAGGUGUAGCGGUGAAAUGCGUAGAGAUCUGGAGGAAUACCGGUGGCGAAGGCGGCCCCCUGGACAAAGACUGACGCUGAGGUGCGAAAGCGUGGGGAGCAAACAGGAUUAGAUACCCCGGUAGUCCCUGUCUCUUAUAC